GGCGAGUGAAGCGGGAUGAGCUCAAGCUUAAAAUCUCCGUACAAGUUUUGUACGGCGAAUUGUAGUCUAUAGAGGCGUGGUCAGCGUGAGCUCUUGGGGCAAGUUCCUUGGAAAAGGACAGCAUGGAGGGUGAUACUCCCGUUCAUCUCCGAGUGGCUCGUGCGUACGACCCGUUUUCUUUGAGUCGCGUUGUUUGAGAAUGCAGCGCAAAGUAGGUGGUAAAUUCCAUCUAAAGCUAAAUAUUGGUGCGAGACCGAUAGCAUACAAGUACCGUGAGGGAAAGAUGAAAAGAACUUUGAAAAGAGAGUUAAAGAGUACCUGAAACUGCUGAAAGGGAACCGAAUCGUUUCCAGUGUCUAUAAUCUGUGGCAUAUUUCAUUGGCGAGUGUGUGCGUGCGUGUGCUGUGGCAGCGGCCUUUGCUGCGCUUGGCGCGUGUGGUGUGUGUGCUUGCUGGUGCCCUGUGCUGCGGUGGGACGUCAAUGUCAGUUCGUAUGCUGCGGGAAAUGGCUGCCGAGGAGGUAGGGCUUACGCUUGCGUUUGUCUGUUAUAUCUUGGUGACGUGUCGCGGUUGGGACUGAGGUGCCUACAACGUGCUUUUGAGUGGGUUUGUGUCUCCGUGUGUGCCGUGUGCGGAUAGCUUGCUAUGCGUGUGUGGUUAUGGUGGAUUGAUAUGGGCUUUAACUUGUUGNNNNNNNNNNNNNNNNNNNNNNNNNNNNNNNNNNNNNGUCUUGAAACACGGACCAAGGAGUCUAACAUGUGUGCAAGUGUUAGGGUGUGGAAACCCCAGCGCGAAAUGAAAGUAAAGGGCAGCGAAGUGUCUGAGGUAGGAAACGUUGCGUUGCGGCGUGGCACUAUCGACCGAUCAUGAACCUUCGUGGUGAAAGAUUUGAGUUUGAGCACAUAUGUUGGUACCCGAAAGAUGGUGAACUAUGCCUGAGUAGGGU
rnacentral:rRNA from 1 species